CCUACGGGAGGCAGCAGUGAGGAAUAUUGGUCAAUGGACGAGAGUCUGAACCCGCCAAGUAGCGUGAAGGAUGACUGCCCUAUGGGUUGUAAACUUCUUUUAUAUGGGAAUAAAACGUUCCACGUGUGGGAUUUUGUAUGUACCAUAUGAAUAAGGAUCGGCUAACUCCGUGCCAGCAGCCGCGGUAAUACGGAGGAUCCGAGCGUUAUCCGGAUUUAUUGGGUUUAAAGGGAGCGUAUGUGGAUUGUUAAGUCAGUUGUGAAAGUUUGCGGCUCAACCGUAAAAUUGCAGUUGAAACUGGCAGUCUUGAGUACAGUAGAGGUGGGCGGAAUUCGUGGUGUAGCGGUGAAAUGCUUAGAUAUCACGAAGAACUCCGAUUGCGAAGGCAGUUCACUGGACUGCAACUGACACUGAGGCUCGAAAGUGUGGGUAUCAAACAGGAUGAGAUACCCUAGUAGUC
rnacentral:rRNA from 1 species